rnacentral:rRNA from 1 species
UACAGAGGUCUCAAGCGUUGUUCGGAUUCAUUGGGCGUAAAGGGUGCGUAGGCGGCGCGGUAAGUCGGGUGUGAAAUCGCGGAGCUUAACUUCGAAACUGCAUUCGAUACUGCCGUGCUUGAGGACUGGAGAGGAGACUGGAAUUACGGUGUAGCGGUGAAAUGCGUAGAUAUCGUAAGGAACACCAGUGGCGAAGGCGGCUCACUGGACCGGUACUGACGCUGAUGCGCGAAAGCGUGGGGAGCAAACGGG